UCUAGGGCAUAACACUUACAGUUUACAGCAGAUAUUAUCAUGUUUUCAGUGAAGGUGAACUUGAAAGGUAAAGAAUUGUUUUCUAUUCAUAGUUUAAUUUGUUUAAAUAAUGCUACUCUAUUAUCUAUUCAAUUUUUCAUAAAUGCUUGCUAUGGUUUUUAUUCCUGAUCAGCUUGCAUAUUGUCAAAUACAAUAGAGUAGUGGCUCUCAGCUUGCAUUAUGAUGCAGUUUGCUUAUUAUCGUUGGAUUUCCGCUUUAAUUUGGUUCUUUGCUAAUAAUUCAUGAUCUUUGAGAAUUAAUAACAGGAACCAUUAUAGUUAUCAUUUUUUUUAUUUUUUUGGAUGAAUCUAACAUUCAAUGUUAUGCAAAGCGAUCUCAUUUACACUGUUUUGUCUUUUGAAUUAAUGUUCUACUCUGUAUUUCAAUCUGCAGGUUAGUGUCUAGCGUGAAUGGCGCUGUAAUUGUUGACAGAUUUUAUGACAAAUCAAAUUGGUGCGUUAUUCUUGAGAAAACUUCGUCAUGAUGUGAUGGUCAAUAUAGCAAUUCAUGGAACUCUGAUCUUGCAACCUAAGAGCUGCACAAAUCAGGAUAUAUACAUUUCAAAGUAAGCAAGAUUUGGGAGUGCUUUGUUUGAUUACCUUCCCAAAAAAAAAAAGGGAGUUGAGAGUGCUUUGCGGAACAAGGAACCAAAAAUUUGGUAUAGUUCUAGUUAAACUUUUUAGGGAGUCUCCUCUUUCCAUGCUCGAAGUGGAGAAGAGUCCACGUACAAGUUUUCUCCUUGAUUUUGCAUCUCGAGGAUUGCUUGAAUAGGUACAUUUGGCCAUCUUUUCCUAACCCAGUUAUUUUUUAUUUUUCGGAAUUAUUGUGCUUCAGUCUUGUUUUCACUGUAUAAGUAGUUCCUUUUGUAAGAAGCAUCAGUACAUGAUUAUCUCAUGAAAAAUACUGCUUCUUGUUAUUUCAAUUGCUAACGGAACCAAAGGACCGCUUCUUCUUGUUUCAAUUGCAUUGAAUUUGCUUGUAUUCUGAAAUGAUUUAUAAGUUGGACGGUAUAAUAUUUAAAAAUUUAUUAAUGAGACACAAGUUGUAGUUGCGAUAUGCUUAAGCACAA
rnacentral:lncRNA from 1 species